GUUAUAUGGUCAAGUGAAGAAGCGCAUACGGUGGAUGCCUUGGCAGUCAGAGGCGAUGAAAGACGUGGUAGCCUGCGAAAAGCUUCGGGGAGUCGGCAAACAGACUUUGAUCCGGAGAUCUCUGAAUGGGGGAACCCACCUAGGAUAACCUAGGUAUCUUGUACUGAAUCCAUAGGUGCAAGAGGCGAACCAGGGGAACUGAAACAUCUAAGUACCCUGAGGAAAAGAAAUCAACCGAGAUUCCCUUAGUAGUGGCGAGCGAACGGGGAUUAGCCCUUAAGCUUCAUUGAUUUUAGCGGAACGCUCUGGAAAGUGCGGCCAUAGUGGGUGAUAGCCCCGUACGCGAAAGGAUCUUUGAAGUGAAAUCGAGUAGGACGGAGCACGAGAAACUUUGUCUGAACAUGGGGGGACCAUCCUCCAAGGCUAAAUACUACUGACUGACCGAUAGUGAACCAGUACCGUGAGGGAAAGGCGAAAAGAACCCCGGAGAGGGGAGUGAAAUAGAACCUGAAACCGUAUGCGUACAAGCAGUGGGAGCCUACUUGUUAGGUGACUGCGUACCUUUUGUAUAAUGGGUCAGCGACUUAUAUUCAGUGGCAAGCUUAACCGUAUAGGGUAGGCGUAGCGAAAGCGAGUCUUAAUAGGGCGUUUAGUCGCUGGGUAUAGACCCGAAACCGGGCGAUCUAUCCAUGAGCAGGUUGAAGGUUAGGUAACACUGACUGGAGGACCGAACCCACUCCCGUUGAAAAGGUAGGGGAUGACUUGUGGAUCGGAGUGAAAGGCUAAUCAAGCUCGGAGAUAGCUGGUUCUCCUCGAAAGCUAUUUAGGUAGCGCCUCAUGUAUCACUCUGGGGGGUAGAGCACUGUUUCGGCUAGGGGGUCAUCCCGACUUACCAAACCGAUGCAAACUCCGAAUACCCAGAAGUGCCGAGCAUGGGAGACACACGGCGGGUGCUAACGUCCGUCGUGAAAAGGGAAACAACCCAGACCGCCAGCUAAGGUCCCAAAGUUGUGGUUAAGUGGUAAACGAUGUGGGAAGGCUUAGACAGCUAGGAGGUUGGCUUAGAAGCAGCCAUCCUUUAAAGAAAGCGUAAUAGCUCACUAGUCGAGUCGGCCUGCGCGGAAGAUGUAACGGGGCUCAAACCACACACCGAAGCUGCGGGUGUCACGUAAGUGACGCGGUAGAGGAGCGUUCUGUAAGCCUGUGAAGGUGAGUUGAGAAGCUUGCUGGAGGUAUCAGAAGUGCGAAUGCUGACAUGAGUAACGACAAUGGGUGUGAAAAACACCCACGCCGAAAGACCAA
rnacentral:rRNA from 1 species